UCUAUUGAUUUUGAGGUCACAUGGUCAAAGGUCAAACUGGACAUAGGAAUAUACUAACUGUUCAAUGUCUACAGAAACCUUUACUUGACAGACAUCAAACUUGGUACACUGAUACAUCUUCAGGAGAAGAUGACCCCUAUUGAUUUUGAGGUCACAUUGUCAAAGGUCAAGGGUCAAACUGGACAUAGUAAUAUACUGUCCACUCAAUAUCUUGAGAACCCUUUCCUUUACAGACAUCAAACUUGGUACAUAUGUACAUCUUAAGGAGUAGAUGAUCCCUAUUGAUUUUGAGGUCACAUGGUCAAGAGUCAAACUGCACAUAGGAAUAUAUUUUCCAUUCAAUAUCUUGAUAACCCUUUGCUUGACAGACAUCAAACUUGGUACACUGGUACAUCAUAAGGAGUAAAAUUUGGGUACAUUUAGUCAAAGGUCAAGGGUUAAACUAGACAUAGUAAUGUGUUAUCGCCUAUAUUUUAAGAAUCAUUUGCUUGAUUGACACCAAACUUAGUACACUGGUACAGCAUAAGGAGUAGAUGACCCCUAUUGAUGUUUAGGUCACAUGGUCAAUCCACUCUGGACAUGGGAAGAUUUUGUUUGCUCAAUAUCUAGAAUUGGUUUGACACUACUAUCAAUUAAAUGAUACAUGUGUAUAACCCUUUUCAAUUUUGCACCAUGUUUUAUAUGUUUUACAAAUAUUUCUUGUUAAUUGAUACUCACAUGAAAUUAAAAUUUUAAAAACCCAGUAAUCAAAAGGUCAAGGUCAAAGGUUAUAAAAAGGCACGCGACUGUCACAUUUUAUGUCCAAACUACUUUCCCAAGUUUUAACCUUGUACAAAAGAAUUAAAUGUAUAUAAUUUUAUUCCUAACUUGCUUCCAUACAGGUAAAGUUAAUGAUAUUCACCAGGUCUAAAUUUAGAUACCUGUGUAUAUUUUCACUUGAAAUACCAGUUGCGAGUUAGUUUGAGCGUAGCAGGCAAGGCGUGCACAGAGAUAGUUGGCACCCAGUGUUUUGGGCAUAAUCAUGUUAUUCGCUCUGCGGAGCGAAUUAGUUUAACAUGCUUGGUUUAUACAUGUACGUGUUAACUAUUGACUUUUUAUAAUCAUGCUAUUUAUUCCGUUUAUAAAAGCAAAAAGCAUUCAUUCACAUUUACGGAAUCUAUGCUAUAAUUAAGUACGUAGAAUACAUGCCAAUUCGUUCCCCGGAGCGAAUAACAUAAUUAUGCCGUGUUUUGUAUAUUGAAAACUUAAUUCACUUACUAAUUUCUCUUAUAAACCAGAUUGUCAUCGCUUCACUUCUGAGGUCCAAGGUACAAGUAGAUCAAAUACAGGAAAUAUUGCCAUUCACACAUAAUACCUCGGCCCGCCAAAGUUUGGGAAGAAGAGCAUAUGUGGAAGCAGAAACCAACUUUAAUUAUUUAAUGAACUGUAGUAAACAAAAAUGUAAUCUGUAAAAGUGGAGAAAUAUAUAUUGUAAAGUAAACAAAAUUGUGAUAUGUAAAAGUGGAGAAAUAUAUAUAUAUAUAUUGUAAA